rnacentral:snoRNA from 1 species
UUAUAUGAUGACAAAGGGCCAUGAGGCCUGAAUAAUCCCAGCUCGUCGAGUGCCUCGCUACAAACGCAGAGUGUAACCUGAGAUAAAAAACCCGUUCUGAUAU